rnacentral:pre_miRNA from 1 species
UAUCUACUCCCUCCGUCCCAAAAUUCUUGUCUUAGAUUUGCCUAGAUACGGAUGUAUCUAAUACUAAACGUGACUUGAUACAUCCGUAUUUAGACAAAUCUAAGACAAGAAUUUUGGGAUGGAGGGAGUAUGUU